UACGUAGGGUGCGAGCGUUAAUCGGAAUUACUGGGCGUAAAGUGUGCGCAGGCGGUUCGUUGUGUCGGCGGUGAAAGCCCCGGGCUUAACCUGGGAAUGGCCGUCGAAACUGGCGAACUGGAGUGUGGCAGAGGGGGGUGGAAUUCCGCGUGUAGCAGUGAAAUGCGUAGAGAUGCGGAGGAACACCGAUGGCGAAGGCAGCCCCCUGGGCUGACACUGACGCUCAGGCACGAAAGCGUGGGGAGCAAACAGG
rnacentral:rRNA from 1 species